rnacentral:lncRNA from 1 species
AGAUGGAAUUCAGGUGGAACCUCUUUCGGAAAGCCCAGAGAGGGAAUCGUGCACAGGAGAUUCAGCAUCUGCCCAAAGAACAAAGGAAAUCCCUUAUUUUAGUGGCCUUUAAAGGAGAGAGUUCUCCUAGUUAGAGGGAAGGGGCUUCUGAGGGUAGCAACUUUGUGACAAUAUUAGACAGGAUAUGAAGAGGUUUGUUCCAAGAAUGACUUUUGGAAUCAUGCUGCCCUGCCUUCUGCAUCUUCACCAAGAAUUUGCUACCAGAGACAAAGCUCUACUUCUACUUGAUUACUUCUGGCCCAUAUCCAGCAGGAAGCAGCCAAAAUAGCCCAGCAAUCAUUGGUAUAUCAUCUUCUUCCUCUGAAGGAGCAGCAGCCAUUUCUCCAGUGCUGGCCAAGAGGGGUGUUGAAAGGGAGACGCUGCUGGUUCCCUGUAUCUAAAAGACUGAUUAUAUACGUUGCUUUUCCACAUGUCGGUGUUCCUAGUUUGUAGUGUGAAUAUUUGUGUGUUUAAGCUAGACUUAUUUGGAACGAAUAUAUAUAUUCUUCUGAAUUAAAAUGCUUCUGAAAAUAC